GGUCGUGUGGCCCAGUGGUUAUGGGCACCUGCACUCAAAUUGCGGGAGGUCGCAGGCUCGAACCCUGCCACGAUCA